rnacentral:rRNA from 1 species
GACGUAGGGGGCGAGCGUUGUCCGGAUUCAUUGGGCGUAAAGAGCGCGUAGGCGGCCCGGAAAGUGGGGUGUGAAAACCCGAGGCUCAACCUCGGGCGUGCACUCCAAACUCCCGGGCUCGAGGCAGGUAGGGGAGAUCGGAAUUCCUGGUGUAGCGGUGAAAUGGCGCAGAUAUCAGGAGGAACACCGGUGGCGAAGGCG